rnacentral:rRNA from 1 species
CCUACGGGCCGCACCAGUGGGGAAUAUUGCACAAUGGGCGCAAGCCUGAUGCAGCCAUGCCGCGUGUAUGAAGAAGGCCUUCGGGUUGUAAAGUACUUUCAGCGGGGAGGAAGGGAGUGAGGUUAAUAACCUCAUUCAUUGACGUUACCCGCAGAAGAAGCACCGGCUAACUCCGUGCCAGCAGCCGCGGUAAUACGGAGGGUGCAAGCGUUAACCGGAAUUACUGGGCGUAAGGCGCACGCAGGCGGUCUGUCAAGUCGGAUGUGAAAUCCCCGGGCUCAACCUGGGAACUGCAUUCGAAACUGGCAGGCUGGAGUCUUGUAGAGGGGGGUAGAAUUCCAGGUGUAGCGGUGAAAUGCGUAGAGAUCUGGAGGAAUACCGGUGGCGAAGGCGGCCCCCUGGACAAAGACUGACGCUCAGGUGCGAAAGCGUGGGGAGCAAACAGGAUUAGAUACCCUUGUAGUC